AUUGAACGCUGGCGGCAGGCCUAACACAUGCAAGUCGAGCGGAUGAAGGGAGCUUGCUCCUGGAUUCAGCGGCGGACGGGUGAGUAAUGCCUAGGAAUCUGCCUGGUAGUGGGGGAUAACGUCCGGAAACGGGCGCUAAUACCGCAUACGUCCUGAGGGAGAAAGUGGGGGAUCUUCGGACCUUACGCUAUCAGAUGAGCCUAGGUCGGAUUAGCUAGUUGGUGGGGUAAAGGCCUACCAAGGCGACGAUCCGUAACUGGUCUGAGAGGAUGAUCGGUCACACUGGAGCUGAGACACGGUCCAGACUCCUACGGGAGGCAGCAGUGGGGAAUAUUGGACAAUGGGCGAAAGCCUGAUCCAGCCAUGCCGCGUGUGUGAAGAAGGUCUUCGGAUUGUAAAGCACUUUAAGUUGGGAGGAAGGGCAGUAAGUUAAUACCUUGCUGUUUUGACGUUACCAACAGAAUAAGCACCGGCUAACUUCGUG
rnacentral:rRNA from 1 species